rnacentral:rRNA from 1 species
UGGGGAAUAUUGGACAAUGGGGGCAACCCUGAUCCAGCAAUGCCGCGUGUGUGAAGAAGGUUUUCGGAUUGUAAAGCACUUUCGGCGGGGACGAUGAUGACGGUACCCGCAGAAGAAGCCCCGGCUAACUUCGUGCCAGCAGCCGCGGUAAUACGAAGGGGGCUAGCGUUGCUCGGAAUGACUGGGCGUAAAGGGCGUGUAGGCGGUUUGUACAGUCAGAUGUGAAAUCCCCGGGCUUAACCUGGGAGCUGCAUUUGAUACGUGCAGACUAGAGUGUGAGAGAGGGUUGUGGAAUUCCCAGUGUAGAGGUGAAAUUCGUAGAUAUUGGGAAGAACACCGGUGGCGAAGGCGGCAACCUGGCUCAUGACUGACGCUGAGG